UGGGCAACAAGAGUGAAACUCCAUCUCAAAAAAUAAAUAGACAAAUAAAAUAAAAUAAAAGAUUUUUUUUAAAGUUAGCAACUUGUAAAAAUGUUUCAGUAGGAAAGUUCUGUGAUGAGACUGUGAUGCUUGAUGGUCAACAUCAGCUUGUUGGCUUUUACCCCAGAUAAGCCUUUUGACUUUUUACCCCAGAUAACAGCCAUUGACUGUCCACGAUUGUCAUCAUGCAGCUAUAUUUGUCAUAAGCAUCAUGUGCUUGGAUACAUUAUGUCAUAAGCAUAAAUGUCCUAGAGUAAAUUGUACACGAGUUGCAUUAUGUGCUAGAUGUCUAUCCAAAGGAAUACUCUGGCAAUUCAUUUGGCAAAGUAAUAAUUUUGUGUGCAUGUGCAAGUAUAUACCAAUUUAUGCAAUAAAAAUUUUUGAAGUAUGA
rnacentral:lncRNA from 1 species